CAAGUCGAACGCGAAAGGGGCUUCGGCCCUGAGUAGAGUGGCGAACGGGUGAGUAACACGUGGGUGAUCUACCUUCGAGUGGGGGAUAACGUUCCGAAAGGAGCGCUAAUACCGCAUGACGUUCCGGGUUUGAAGACCUGGAAACCAAAGCCGGGGACCGCAAGGCCUGGCGCUUGAAGAGGAGCCCGCGUCCGAUUAGCUAGUUGGCGGGGUAAUGGCCCACCAAGGCGACGAUCGGUAGCCGGCCUGAGAGGGCGGACGGCCACACUGGAACUGAGACACGGUCCAGACUCCUACGGGAGGCAGCAGUGGGGAAUUGUUCACAAUGGGCGCAAGCCUGAUGACGCAACGCCGCGUGGGGGAUGAAGGUCUUCGGAUUGUAAACCCCUGUCGAACGGGAAGAAAGACUCGCGGUCUAAUCAUCGCGAGAGUGACGGUACCGUUAAAGGAAGCCACGGCUAACUCUGUGCCAGCAGCCGCGGUAAUACAGAGGUGGCAAGCGUUGUUCGGAAUUACUGGGCGUAAAGGGCGUGUAGGCGGUCUUCUAAGUCAGACGUGAAAUCCCCCGGCUUAACCUGGGAACUGCGUCUGAUACUGGGAGGCUUGAGUAUGGGAGAGGGAUGUAGAAUUCCAGGUGUAGCGGUGAAAUGCGUAGAUAUCUGGAGGAAUACCGGUGGCGAAGGCGGCAUCCUGGACCAUAACUGACGCUUAAGCGCGAAAGCUAGGGGAGCAAACGGGAUUAGAUACCCCGGUAGUCCUAGCCCUAAACGAUGAAUGCUUGGUGUGGCGGGUAUCGAUCCCU
rnacentral:rRNA from 1 species